AUGCCAAAAGAAAAUAUCGGACCUAUUGAAAUUCUGAAUUUUUUAAAGUGUAAUGAUUGUUUUCCUAAUGCAAGUAUUGCAUAUGGAGUUAUGUUGACCAUUCCUGUGACAGUUGCAUCGGUAGAAAGAAGUUUUUCUGUAUUGAAGCUACUGAAGUCUUAUAUGCGUUGGCCACAAUAG
rnacentral:rRNA from 1 species